rnacentral:lncRNA from 1 species
UUAGAAAUAAUGAAAAAAGUUGAUCCAAAAGCUAAAAAACUGAUAGCAACAAUGAGAUUUUGCUACUAAGAGUAGCCCAGUCCAACUCAUAUAUAUAUAUAUAUAUAUUGUGUGUGUGUGUGUGUGUGGUGGAAUAAGAAAUACAAAUAAUAUUUUAAAAAUAUUAAUACUUACAAACGUGAUUUUUUCGCUACAGCAGAUGUUUCAAUAGGCAAAUCACUAUCGUUGCUUGACAAAAUACUGCAAGUCAAUAAUUUUUUUUUUGAACAGGCAGAACAUUAAUUAUUAGAAUUUUUUUCCCACAGACAGAACAUUAAUUUAUAAUCAGUUCUUAACUUAGUUUAUUAAUCAUACCUUGAUUGACUUUCGGUAGGACUAUAUUCGCCAAUAGUAUUUUCCACUUGAGCACUAUUUUUAACAGGUAUAAUAAAUUGAUUUUCAGAAGUGACCGCACUGUUAAAUUCCUUUGCAAUAUGAUUAUUUUAAAUCUCCUGUUUUGAUUCCAAUUACACUAUGAAUUAUUUGUAAAUUGUCUUUUACUUUGCUAACUCCAAUAAAAAUAGUAUUUCACGUACAACAUAAACUUUUCUCUUACAAAAUUUUUCAUACUAUACAGCAUAUUCCUUGCCCUCUUGCUUUUUUUCUUAACUUUCGCUAUAUAUAGCAACAUUGUUUAACAUCAUACACAGGGUUCAUGAAACAAAAAAUUGCAUAGUACAUAAAAUAUUUUUGGUAUUUUUGCUAUCUUUCUUAUUAUUACAAUGCAUGCAUCUUCCCCUCAACUCUUUCUUCUCAUAGCCCAUGUGAGUCCAUGCAUGCAACUUGAACAUAGCCCAUGUGGGUCCAUGCAAGGGAGAGAGAACAUGUGAGGGAGAGAGAGAAAAUUCACCACGUGGCUCGACGGAGGAACGGUAUUUAGUUUCAACUUUAGUAUAGAGUUUAAUGAUUCUAAUAAUAAGAUUUGGAUAAGCAACUUUUUUGCAUUUGUAUUAAAAAUAUUUUUUUUUUUAAAAAAAAAAGGAAAAAUGUAUGGAAGACCCCUGAACUUCAUCUGUUUUGCAACCAGGUGCAUCAACUUUUAAUUUUCGCAAAGAGAGCCCUUAAACUUUAUCAAAUAGUUCAACUGGCUCAUCUUCUCAAAUAAACUUACUAAUUAUAGAACUGGUGUGGUCAAAUAUCGCGAACCUAAUUCUAUAAAGACAUAUAAAUAUUAAAAAAGUUUUUUUUUUUUUCUUUCAAUUUUGAUAGUUAAGUAUAACGAUGGNGGGGGGGAUACUUAUAAACGUGGUUUUUGCGCUACAGCAGAUGUUUCAAUAGGCAAAUCACUAUCGUUGCUUGACAAAAUACUGCAAGUCAAUAAUUUUUUUUUGAACAGGCAGAACAUUAAUUAUUAGAUUUUUUUUUCCCACAGACAGAACAUUAAUUUAUAAUCAGUUCUUAACUUAGUUUAUUAAUCAUACCUUGAUUGACUUUCGGUAGGACUAUAUUCGCCAAUAGUAUUUUCCACUUGAGCACUAUUUUUAACAGGUAUAAUAAAUUGAUUUUCAGAAGCGGCCGCACUGUUAAAUUCUUUUGCAAUAUGAUUAUUCUAAAUCUCCUGUUUUAAUUCCAAUUACACUAUGAAUUAUUUGUAAAUUGUCUUUUACUUUGCUAACUCCAAUAAAAAUAGUAUUUCACGCACAACAUAAACUUUUCUCUUACAAAAUUUUUCAUACUACACAGCAUAUUCCUUGCCCUCUUGCUUUUUUUCUUAACUUUCUCUAUAUAUAGCAACAUUGUUUAACAUCAUACACAAGGUUCAUGAAACAAAAAAUUGUACAGUACAUAAAUUAUUUUUGGUACUUUUGCUAUCUUUCUUAUUAUUACAAUGCAUGCAUCUUCCCCCCAACUCUUUCUUCUCAUAGCCCAUGUGAGUCCAUGCAUGCCACUUGAACAUAGCCCAUGUGGGUCCAUGCGAGGGAGAGAGAGAAAAUCCACCACGUGGCUCGACGGAGGAACGGUAUUUAGUUUCAACUUUAGUAUAGAGUUUAAUGAUUCUAAUAAUAAGAUUUGGAUAAGCAACUUUUUUGCAUUUGUAUUAAAAAUA